rnacentral:rRNA from 1 species
GACGUAGGGCGCAAGCGUUGUCCGGAUUUAUUGGGCGUAAAGAGCUCGUAGGCGGCUUGUCGCGUCGGCUGUGAAAACCCGCGGCUCAACCGCGGGCCUGCAGCCGAUACGGGCAGGCUAGAGUUCGGUAGGGGAGACUGGAAUUCCUGGUGUAGCGGUGAAAUGCGUAGAUAUCUGGAGGAACACCGGUGGCGAAGGCGGCAUCCUGGACCGGUAUUGACGCUGAUGCGCGAAAGCCAGGGGAGCAAACGGG